AUUGAACGCUGGCGGCAGGCCUAACACAUGCAAGUCGAGCGGUUGAAGGUUGCUUUCUCCUGUUUUCAGCUUCGGACUGUUGUGUAAUUCCUAUUAAUCUGCCUUUUAUUUUUUUAUUACUUCCUUUAACGGGCUCUAAUACCGCAUACGUCCUUAGUUAGUAAGUUUGGUAUCUUCGUACCUCACUCUAUCAUUUGUUCCUAGGUCGGAUUAGCUAGUUGGUGUGGUAAAGGCCUACCAAGGCGACGAUCCGUAACUGGUCUGAGAGGAUGAUCAGUCACACUGGAACUGAGACACGGUCCAGACUCCUACGGGAGGCAGCAGUGGGGAAUAUUGGACAAUGGGCGAAAGCAUGAUCCAGCCAUGCCGCGUGUGUGAAGAAGGUCUUCGGAUUGUAAAGCACUUUAAGUUGGGAGGAAGGGCAGUAAGAUAAUACCUUGCUGUAUUGACGUUAACAACAGAAUAAGCAACGGCUAACUUCGUG
rnacentral:rRNA from 1 species